UUGACCUCAAAUCGGGUGAGACUA
rnacentral:rRNA from 2 species